rnacentral:rRNA from 1 species
CGUGCAGGUGGUCGGCUAAGUCGUGCGUGAAAGCUCCCUGGCUCAACCGGGAGAGGUCGUGCGAUACUGGCCGACUGGAGACAGAGAGAGGCAAGUGGAAUUCCGGGUGUAGUGGUGAAAUGCGUAGAUAUCCGGAGGAACACCAGUGGCGAAGGCGGCUUGCUGGCUCUGUUCUGACACUCAGACGCGAAAGCAUGGGGAGCGAACG